UGGGGAAUAUUGGACAAUGGGCGCAAGCCUGAUCCAGCCAUGCCGCGUGAGUGAUGAAGGCCCUAGGGUUGUAAAGCUCUUUCACCGGUGAAGAUAAUGACGGUAACCGGAGAAGAAGCCCCGGCUAACUUCGUGCCAGCAGCCGCGGUAAUACGAAGGGGGCUAGCGUUGUUCGGAUUUACUGGGCGUAAAGCGCACGUAGGCGGACUAUUAAGUCAGGGGUGAAAUCCCGGGGCUCAACCCCGGAACUGCCUUUGAUACUGGUAGUCUUGAGUUCGAGAGAGGUGAGUGGAAUUCCGAGUGUAGAGGUGAAAUUCGUAGAUAUUCGGAGGAACACCAGUGGCGAAGGCGGCUCACUGUCUCGAUACUGACGCUGAGGUGCGAAAGCGUGGGGAGCAAACAGG
rnacentral:rRNA from 1 species